GCUGCUGGGACUAAUGAUGAAUCAGGCCAGACAGGCAGCAGAGAAGUGUCUGGAACGUCUCCGUCUACUUGCACAGUGACAGAGUUGCCGGGGAUGAUGCUGUUUCAGGCUGAUUAAUUUGAGUGGCUGGUCCAGUCUUGAAGAAGAAGUGUAAGGUUGGGGUGGGGGAGUUGAGCUGUGUGGGCUCUGACAUUGUCCUUUAUUAUCAGAGAACCUUAGCGGCAGCAGUCUCAAGCAAAUGAGACAGUCCCCCUGGGGAGGAUGGCAGUGGAGAGCUUCUCUUCAGCAUGUCAUAUUACAGCUGCAGGUACUUCGUGACAGCUUGCACAAAGAUGAGGAAUAGCAGAGGACAAUGGGGAGGGAUGGAGGUUCAGGCCAUGAAGUAACAAUGGACUUGGAUUAUGGAACAGAGCCGACAGAGGGAGGAGCCUUUAUGAGGGCAAGAGGAACAAGGGGAUGACCAGCCAAAGAGGAGCCAGGAGAGAUCCAUUUUAUACACUAAAUUUUAUUUAAUUUAUAAAGCCUUUCACCCGCAUCAUCUGUAAAAACAUAUUAGCUCACUGUCUGGCGACAUGUUUAUGCUGACUUGUAAUUAAAAAAAAGUUUGUUUUCCCAA